rnacentral:tRNA from 1 species
UAGAAUAUGGUGUAAUGUGGGCAGCACGGAGGACUUUGAAUUCUCAGGUACGGGUUCGAUUGGUGUAUUUCUAG